GAUGAACGCUGGCGGCGUGCUUAACACAUGCAAGACGAGCGAGUGAGUUCUUCGGAACGAUCUAGCGGCGGACGGGUGAGUAACACGUGGGCAACCUGCCUCAUAGAGGGGAAUAGCCUUCCGAAAGGAAGAUUAAUACCGCAUAACAUCGUUGAAGGGCAUCCUUCGAUGAUCAAAGGAGCAAUCCGCUAUGAGAUGGGCCCGCGGCGCAUUAGCUAGUUGGUGAGGUAACGGCUCACCAAGGCGACGAUGCGUAGCCGACCUGAGAGGGUGAUCGGCCACAUUGGGACUGAGACACGGCCCAGACUCCUACGGGAGGCAGCAGUGGGGAAUAUUGCACAAUGGGGGAAACCCUGAUGCAGCAACGCCGCGUGAGUGAUGACGGCCUUCGGGUUGUAAAGCUCUGUCUUUGGGGACGAUAAUGACGGUACCCAAGGAGGAAGUCACGGCUAACUACGUGCCAGCAGCCGCCGUAAAAC
rnacentral:rRNA from 1 species